CCUACGGGGGGCUGCAGUGAGGAAUAUUGGUCAAUGGACGGAAGUCUGAACCAGCCAUGCCGCGUGCAGGAAGACGGCUCUAUGAGUUGUAACCUGCUUUUGUACAAGGGUAAACCUGAAUACGUGUAUUCUGCUGAAAGUACUGUACGAAUAAGGAUCGGCUAACUCCGUGCCAGCAGCCGCGGUAAUACGGAGGAUCCAAGCGUUAUCCGGAUUUAUUGGGUGUAAAGGGUGCGUAGGCGGAUUGUUAAGUUAGAGGUGAAAUGUCCGAGCUUAACUCGGGAACUGCCUAUAAUACUGUUGAUCUAGAGAGUAGAUGCGGUAGGCGGAAUGUAUGGUGUAGCGGUGAAAUGCUUAGAGAUCAUACAGAACACCGAUUGCGAAGGCAGCUUACCAAACUAUAUCUGACGUUGAGGCACGAAAGCGUGGGGAGCAAACAGGAUUAGAUACCCUUGUAGUC
rnacentral:rRNA from 1 species